AUGGCCGGGUGGAAGGGCCAGAGGAAGAAGGCCGUGACGCGAUCCGUCAAGGCCGGGCUCCAGUUCCCGGUCGGCCGCAUCGGGCGCUACCUCAAGCAGGGCCGCUAUGCGCAGCGCAUCGGGAAGGGCGCCCCCGUCUAUCUCGCCGCCGUCCUCGAGUACCUCGCCGCCGAGGUCCUGGAGCUGGCCGGCAACGCGGCCGUGGAUAACAAGAAGACGCGCAUCACCCCUCGCCACCUGCUGCUCGCGAUCCGCAACGACGAGGAGAUCGGCAAGCUGCUCGCCGGCGUCACCAUCGCCCACGGCGGCGUGCUGCCCAACAUCAACCCCGUGCUGCUCCCGAAGAAGACCGCCGAGAAGGCUGACAAGGAUUCCAAGCCGACCAAGAAGUGGAAGGACGCCCCCAAGUCCACAAAGAAGUCUGCCGAGGAGACCACCGCCGCCGAGGAGACCGCCGCUGCCGAUGAGGAGUAG
rnacentral:rRNA from 1 species